rnacentral:rRNA from 1 species
UACAGAGGUCCCGAGCGUUGUUCGGAUUCAUUGGGCGUAAAGAGCUCGUAGGCGGCUUGUCACGUCGGAUGUGAAAGCUCGGGGCUUAACCCCGGGUCUGCAUUCGAUACGGGCUAGCUAGAGUGUGGUAGGGGAGAUCGGAAUUCCUGGUGUAGCGGUGAAAUGCGUAGAGAUCAGGAAGAACUCCGGUGGCGAAGGCGGCCCGCUGGACCCCAUCUGACGCUGAGGCGCGAAAGCCAGGGAGCGAACGGG